rnacentral:lncRNA from 1 species
UCCGACUUGACUUUAAACAAAUGCAUUCUAUUUUGAAGUAAUUCCUUCCUUCCUUCCUCCUCCUCCUUCUUCUUCUUCUCCAUUGGGGCAUCAACUGGUUUUUUUCUUCAUAGCGUUGGAGAUGGGGCAGUUCUGCAUAGACCUAGACGUGGAUAUCAUGGGACUUGUCCUUGCACUUGUUAUUGCCAUCGCCCUCAUGCUCACCUGUGUCAACCAACCUCCACGCCCACGCCCCCGCCCAGCUAUGGUUGUCACUCAUCGUAUAGCUUGGUAAGGGCUCAAGCAAGGGCUCUUCUUCUUCAUCAUCAUCAUCAUCAAUAGGCUUGUUUCUUUUGGAGUUUUUUUUUCUUUUAAGUUUCAUGGGAUAGUUUUUCAUGUUUUUGAGAAUUGGGAUUGUGCCAAUGAACUGAUAAAAGGGUUUAAAAAGUUAAUCUAAAUUUUGUAACAGAGUUUGCAAACUCCUUUAAUGUUAUUGAAUUCUCAUAUUAUAGUGAAUGUUUGUUGAUGUAAUGUAAGACAGAGAUAAAGAGGGAAUACAGUAAAAGCAAAUUUGUAGUAAAUAAAGUUAUUUGAUGUCAAACAUUUGUAACAAAAAUCAACCAAAUUUCCAAUAUACAUAUACUUUCAAUACUUACAAA